UACGUAGGGUGCGAGCGUUGCCCGGAUUUAUUGGGCGUAAAGGGCGCGUAGGCGGCUCGGCACGUCCGUUGUGAAAUCGCCCGGCUCAACUGGGCGGGGUCAGCGGAUACGGUCGAGCUUGAGCAAGCUAGGGGGUAAUGGAAUUCCCGGUGUAGUGGUGGAAUGCGUAGAUAUCGGGAGGAACACCAGUGGCAGGACGGUCGACUUGGCCUUGGGCUUGGA
rnacentral:rRNA from 1 species